ensembl:rRNA 5S_rRNA 5S ribosomal RNA
UAAUGCAGCCAUAUCACCCUGCAGCCCAAGACAUGUUGCCCACUGAAGCUAAGCAGGGUUGAGCCUAGUCAAUACCUGGAUGUGAGACCUCCUGGGAAAACUAGGUUGCUGCUGGAA